rnacentral:lncRNA from 1 species
GAAACCCAGUUGUCCUAAUCAUAUUAUCAUGUCUUCGUUCUUUGCUCCCUCACGACUGAUGAUGAGGAAUGGGGCUUCAUUUGCAUUGUGAUUAUAUUCAACAUGCUUAGGUACUUUAGAACAACGUUUGAGAAUGAAGUUGAGCUCGUUUUGGAUUCUGUUUGCAAAAUAUACUAGAAUUUUCAGGCAACUGUUAAUUGCAUUUUCGAGUGUCGAUCCAAAAGAUGGAUGAAAUUGGAAUCUUGCAAAAAUUCUGAGCUUCUCUUGUGUAUUAUUGUUCAGCGAUUUACACUUCUACGGUUACCCUUUCGAUUUUCUAUUCUUGUUUUUAUUGAAUUUUCCAUGUGUGUUCGAUUUUUUUGCUGGUGUUUAACGUUAACAAAUUUUAACUCGAAUUCUUUCGAUUUUCUUUGUUUUUUGUUCAAAAAUCCCAUGUGUGCUCGAUUUUGUCGUUGCGUUUAAGGUUAAGCAAAUUUGUUUGAGAUAUUUUGUUUUUCUUCAUUUUUUGUCUUCUCGUCUAUAUGUUUGUUCUAUUUCUUCUACUUUUAUUUCUAUUUGCUUGAUUACAUUUUUGCGUUUAGGUUUUACCAAUUUCGAGUGACAUUUUUUGUUACAUUCAGUUCUGGCCUCUUAUUUCUUGUGUGUUCUGCUUUGGUUACUUUUAAUUGGGCUCUAUUGUAGCUAAUUUUUUUACAAGGUCAGCAAAAAUUAGAAAUAGGAAACGACGUUGGUUUCUUUUUUGUAGUUUAAUAUGGUCUUUUCCUUGAUCUAUCUUCAUAACUAAAACUAUGUAUAUGAAGGUUUGCAUAUGCCUUCUUGCUAUUUGUAGUGGAAGUUUGCUGUCUUUCUCUGUAUUUUACUGAUCUUAACAUUCAUGGAGGCUUCAAUGUAGGGCUUUUUUGUUUACCAUUAUUUUGAGCUUUGAUGUGUGUCUAGGAUUUUACUUUGCCUAUAUUGUAUAUCAGGACUUUAAUAUCCAUUUGGGCCUGUCGAAUCUUACUUGCAUUCAUUUGUUUGGCUUGAAGUUUCACUAUUGAACAUCACUUAGAACUUUCUCGCUUACAAUUUAAAGUGGAAGCUGGUAAUUUGGUUGAUAGUAUGUGGCUUAACAUAUCUUGAUAGUCUUUGUCAAGCUAUAGAAAUUUGAAACUGGGUUAAGUAGAAAUUAUUGGAUAGUCUGAUAAAUCGAUGAAAUUUUAUUAGAGCAAUUUCAUUUUUCCAUUUAGGGUACUAAUAUGAUAUAAGUUCUUUAUUUAGAACUUCUGUAAGGCCUUUAUACACUUCUCUUUUGUUGUACGAAAUGAUGAUACUAAAAAUAAUGGAGAUUUUUUUGAAGUUCACUUUAUCAUUUAAAAUGUUAUUAUUAUAUUUUGUAUUUUCCUUUAUCGUUUUGCCAAGUAACCCUUCAUAAUAGAAAAAUUUUCAUUCUUCCUCUACCCUUACGCACGUUCAACACUUUUCUCAGUUUACCAUUUAACUAUUUUGCAGUUUAGGUAUUCCAAAGAAGAAGGGAUUCCCGUGGGAGAAUUUCAAAAUCGGAAUUUCACAUAACUUCUGAGGUGAUUGUCUUUCAUUUUAUAUACUCUUUUCGUCAAAUUUGUUACAAAGUUAUGUCUUUUACAGUUAGACUAUUUAUAUUGGAUAUAAACAUAUUUCCUUUGCAUCUCAUCUCUGGAGUGUCUAUUUUUUUUCUUUGUUUCUGUGUUUAUAAUUUUGUGUUUGAGUUAUUCUGAAAUGAAGAAGCCAAAAAAUCAAACACAUAUAAUGUAUUUGUGACCUUAAGUAUGUUGAUUUCAUAUUAUAUUUACUGCUAAUUACUUUGUCAUGUCGGUUCGAUUUGCAUUUCUCUUUGUUCAGAUUUGGUUUAUUUUUUCGACUUAAUAUCAACCCGUCUGAUGAAUUAUUAUCAGUCAUUUGUCAAAAUCAAUUUCCUUCACUCUGUUAAGAAUAAUUAAAUUGAGUAAAAUAAACUAGUUAGCCAAUGAGGUUUAAAAGUUUGUAUCAAGGAAAAUAUUCUCAAAUCUUUUUUGUGAAACUUAUAGAAAUAUACCUCCAUUCGUGUUGUCUACUCCAUUAAGGAAGUAGCUUGGAAUUACAAAAUGGUAAAAAGAAAAAGAAAUUAUGUUUUUAUGAUCAAAGUGCUAUGAUUGCUUUGUAGGUGCGUCUAUUUUAUACUAUUGAAUCUAUAACUUAUGAAAAGAUUUAGGUCAUUACAUGAACAUAUCUAUGGUGGGAUGUUGAAUUCAUCAAAGAUAUUUUCGAGAAGUAUUGAUCUAUAGUUGAUUUAACUAUUCUUGUUUAAAGAUCAUAAGGCAUUUGAGAGCAUAAGGGUUAAGUAAUACAUUUAGGUGCCUACCAAAUUCUAUUGGAUGACUAUUUUUCAUAUGGAGGUUAGAUUGUGCAUAUGAAUAUGCAAUUAUCAUCUUAAUAUUUUAUGGGUCCAUGUUUUACCCUUCAAAAGGAAAAUAUUGUUGUAUUUUUUCUGAGGAAUUGAUGAAUUUUUUAUUUAUUUAUUUUUUUGUUUUAUAUGAUUGAAACAUCUAGGAUCCUGAAACAAAAAAAAAGCCUCGAGUGAAGAUUUACGUUGACAAAGAAAUUGGAAGGAAAAAGGGAGAUGCACUUGUAACAUAUCUGAAGGUAAUGCUUUUUGCUCAAAGUGCUUGGAGUAACAUGUAUCGUUGGAAUGUUUUCAUCUUUGAUUGUUUUGUCUUCAAUGAUGUUAUUGUGGAUUGAGGUCAUUGUUGUUGUGUUAUUAUUGUUGUUAUUAUUAAUAUUAUUGUUAUUUUACUAGGCAUUAGGAACCUUCAGUGGACCUGUCCAUCCAAAUAACGGAUGGAGCUCCUCUAAGGCCUGGUGGCUAGAUCCCAAUGUCAGUUACAAAAGCUAAGUUUGCGCAAAAAGGUAACGUGUGGAAUGCAUUGUUCAUUUUCUGCAUUUGUUUCUGGAUAUUAAUUCCAUUGCCUAUGUUCAUUUCGUUGUACGAAUUGAAUAUUUUAAAAUUUAACUUCUCUUUUGGUGUUAAUUAACCUCCAGGGGAUAAAUUCAUGUAAAACAAGUGGACAAGAAUAAGAAGAAACUUUAGAAGAUUGAAAGGAAAAUGUUACGUUGGGUGAGUCCUUUUCUCACAAAAGAUUAAAUUUUUAUUAUGUAGGGUUUGAUCCCCAAUAUGAAAAUAUAGGUAUGUUGAUUUGAGUUUUAAGUGUUCAUUCUAUUUUUGAUUUCAUUAAUACAAUUUUCUAAAAGGUCAAGUUAAAUUGGAUUCUUUUUUGUUUUAUUUUUUGUCCAUACAUUGUAAAAAAAGGUGAAACAAAACCCUUGGUAAAUUCAAUCGACGAUUAUAGCUGUGUCUUCAUCCUAUUGCGAUUUUGCGGCGGCUUUUUGUAUAUGUUGCUGUGAUUUGCUCAUUUGCAGUAGCCUUUGUACAUCUUGCUGCAAAUUCUGAUGGUUAUAUCUUUAAAUUGUGAAGUAUGUCUAUUUAGAAUUUUCCUCCAGUCUAUAAUUUUUUUUCAAAAAAUUUUAGUACAAAUAAAUUCAGAAGGCUGAGAUAUAAUCCUAAAACCUUCAUUCUUGAGUAUCUUUCUUCCACUAUCUUCAACCUUAUUGCUUUUCUAUUUGAUUUAUUUAGUGGGAAUUUUGAGAGAUCCUUUUUGUUUUCUUUCAACCUUAUUGCUUCGUUUCAGACGCUUCUCAAGUAUUGUCAAGCAGAAAUUUUGACGAUUGGGAUUACUGUUCCUGGGUCAAGUUUCUUGCGAUUUAGGUUCUCGGGUGGUGGAAUUUAAUAUUGUUGGUGAGGUCAUUCUUCUUCUUCUACUAGAAUUUAUAGAUUUCUAUUCUAUGGGUUUCAAAUUAGAAGGUUUUUUUUGUUUGGGUAAAAAUGAGGGUGUUUUGGUGACAGAUUUUUAAGAUUAUUCCUAUUCAUGUUAGCAUUCGUAUAAGUCACCGUUUGUUUCCGGUACAAAGUUUAUGGCCCUGCAGAAAUAAAAGGUAGCGAUAUUGAUUGGAUGGAGUUAACUUUGCAAUAAAAAAAUCCAAGCAAAUAGAAUUUGGCCAAUUUGGAAAACCAGCAUCCAUUUAAUCAUCACUUACGUAAAAAAAGUUCGGCACUUAAUAAAACAUUUUACAAUAAUUUUUGCUCUAAAAGAUGUAUCAAAUAAAUGAUUUUAUAUGUAACAAGCUACCAAGAAAUGUCACUGUAAACAUAAACAUAGAUUAAUUGUAAAGAUUUCAUCAACUUAGUUGAAUGAGCAUGUAUUGAGAAGACAGGAGAAGACAGAAGAAGAAAUCUAGGAAAUAGAUGUCAUGAUCCUUAUGCAAGCAUGCUUGUAUUCAAGCUAGAAAAAGCCAUCGAAUAUAUUAAAAAAAAAACAAAAACUUAGGGCUUGUUUGAGCCCCAUUGUUUUCAAAAAUGCAUUUUGAAAUAGUAUUAUGAUAGAAAGUGUGUGGUUAAAAAAUAAGAAAAAGAUUUAGAUUUUCAUGUAAUAUUAUUAAAAAAUAUGUGGUUGAUAUAGAGUCAAAUAACUAUUGAAGAAUGUAUUUUGAUAGAAAAAUGGGGAUUAAACACAAGCUUACUUUAUUAUUUUAAAAUAAGCAUGCAGGAUACAAAUGCGCAUUAUGUUGAUAGACGGCAUGUUCAAUAGGAUUUUGAACUCAAUCCUAUACCAGGAAACUAAGAAUUUGUAAUGUGCUACAGAUUGCGGAAUUUUAGGAUAAUGAAAGAUGGAUUGAUAAAUUGUUUUCGCUGGCUAUAUGUUGGCUAGAUUUCCUUUUACACGCAUAUAAAGUGUCACCUCCAAAUCCACAUAUGCAGAAUCCUCCCUACUUAAUCUGUGCAUAUACACUUUGUUACUUAGACUUGGCCGGAAGUGUCGGAUAAAAUCAAUUGUUGAACAUGGGUACUCUUUUUCUUCUUUGGGUUUUCAAAAUCAUUCUGUAAAUUAUUCAUGAUCUCUCUUUCUUAGUUUCAAGCUAGCUUGAUGAUGAUGAAUGAAAGUACCCGAUGAUUGGAAGUCGGUAAGAAAUUCCUCUUUCAUACCUUCAAAUAGGCAUGUUUUUAUUUGGAUACAUUGAUAUAUUUUCAUAUAGACAAACACAUAAAGCACAAAGGGAAUAUAAAGAACAAAGAGAAAUUCUACCCACAACUAAAGGAAACUUUUGCACAAACAUCUAGAUACAUGAACGAUAUGGUUCUCUGACAUUUGUGUACGUUGGCAUAAAUAUGAAUGUCAUCAAGGCAAUUACUCAAAUAUUUAUGUGCUAAUUAUCAUUAGUGCAUUUGUUCAUAUUCUGUUAAUAUUUGAUUGCACUGGCAUUGAGGAUUUGUUUCUCAAUUAAGUUAAUCAGAAUGAGGAUAUAUAAUACCUUGUUCUUAAUCAUGAUGCCGCCUAAAUUUUUAACCGGAAAUGGUGAGAGUUAGUGUCUUCAAUAACGCUCUUAAGAGCAUGUACAAUGCAGAGAAGCUAGGGAAGUGUCAGGUCAUGAUUCAACCAUCCUCCAAAGUCAUUAUUAAGUUUCUCUUCAUGAUGCAAAAGCAUGGUAUACAAAACAUUGUGUGGUGUUAAUUUGUUGUCUAUUUACGCAUGCAAUAUUCUAUCUAUACACUUAAUUCUUUAUCAUGUCUGUAGGAUACAUUGGAGAGUUUAAGUACAUCAAUGAUCACUGAUCUGGUAAAAUUGUGGUUGAACAAAUGUAGAGUCAUCAGCCCUGACUUUGACGUUGCUAUCCAGGAAAUUGAGGAAUGGAAUGCAAGGUUGCUUCCCUUCUGGCAGGUAAUAUAUAAAAAAACAUUGUACAUUAACAUUUGGAUGAUGAUCACUUGGUGAAUAUUGAGCUAUCAACCUGGCCAUAUGAUAAUAUAUAUGUUUUGCACAUGCACCUUUUAUUUCAUGGAAUAGUAUUAUCAAGGAGACUCUAUCUCUUAUUCAAACUUUUAUUAAGGUAUCUUCAAUUAGCAUGUCAAUCGGAUAUCUCCAUUCUUAAAUAGCUUCACAUCUUCCUAUCGUAAAAUGUGAUUAUUAUGUUUGGUUGUACCCUCAUUUCAUUCGUCUUUUCCCCAGUAGGUCGAGCAAAUUGUACUUUGUAUAGUAAUUAGACUUCAAAAAAAAUAUUAUCCUGCCUCAUCAGAUGUACAAUGGUAUGCUGCCAAUCCCAAGAGAAUGCUAAUUGCUGAAGUCCACAAAAUUAAAUUUCAUUUUUCUUACUUUCCUUCCUUCAAUAAAUAUCUUCUUUCAAUUGUUUUAAGCUCAUUUUACUUUUCAGUUUUGGAUACAUUUGUUGGCAUCAUGGAGCAUGAAGAGGCUAGGAGAAAGAAGGUUGAGGGGGAAAGUGUGCAAUCCCUGUGCAAACUAGUUUCUGAUGUAAUGUAAGUGAUCCCUACUUGAAUCAACAUAGUACUUAAAAGAAUUGAGGAAGUGUGUUCCAUGCACUGGUUGCUUGGAGCUUAAUCUUGAUUCUUUAAAUGCUAACUCUUCGUUUCUCGUUCCAUGCACUGGUUGCUUGGAGCUUAAUCUUGAUUCUUUAAAUGCUAACUCUUCGUUUCUCGUCUAAGCAUUUUAUCAAAUAGCUUGUGCGGGAUGAAGAAAUUAAUUUGACAAAGUGGCACUUAGAUGAUUGCUUUUAUUACCUUGACAAUUUUUCCAAGAUUACAACUUUUGUUGCAAGUCUUCAAGGUUAUUAAGUUCCAUUUGCCAUGUAAUAAAAACUAGGUUGUGUCGAAAUUAUUUCCUACUUAUAUGAUGUUUCACAAAAAAGUUGAGUAUCGAAUAAUUCUUAACUUUGUAGAAACGAGUACAUAAAAAAUGUUAUUUAAGAAGUCCCCUAAAAAAAAGGUGAAAAAAAAUCUAUUUCUAGAAACACUAAAAUUACCUUCGAAAUGACAAAGCUCGUGCAUGGCACGGGCAAUAAACUAGUAUAAAUAGAAGGGUGCAUGAUAUAGAAGAAGUUACUUAUUUUAAUGGUAGUCACUGUACAUAGUUUUUUUGAUAGCUUACAGCAUUUACAUAUUUCCAGAAUUCAAAAGAUAGCAAAAUAAUUAAACCAACUCUUUCAUCUGAAAACAAUAAGUUUUCUGGUUUCUUAACUAAAGACUCAAUAUUAAGUUACUACAGUACGACGAAUUUCGUGUAUUAAAAUACAAAAAUUGUUACAAAUUGUAUUUUGAUAAAAUACAAGUGAUUUGACCUUCAUGUAAUUGCAAAAUUGUAAAAAUCUUCUGAUAAAUGAUCUGAAUAUUUGAAGACGAGGGGUCACGUGGCUUGAAACCUAGUCUUCGAUAAUUUUUUGAAAAUUUGAUUUUUUGAGACUUGACCUAUUCAGCACUUAGAUUGCUUGGACUUGAACUUGGAUUUGAUUUGAUGUAAAGAAAACUUUGAUCUUCUUGAAUUUGGUGUGAACCUGUUUUGUUCAAAGAAGAUUUUGAUUUUCUUAGGGUUCAAAAGAUUUGGGUUUGAGAGGAUUUAUUCUCUUCCUUCGACGUUGAAAUUUUUUCAGUACUUCGUAAUUGUCUUCUAUGCUUUCACUUCUUCUUGAUUUUCUUCUCCCUCCUCCCCUUAUGGAUAAUUGGUCCUAUUUAUAGGGGAAUUUCCGUGCUAAUUUUGGUAAUACUAAAUUAUAUUUAAUUAAAAUGAAUAAUUGAGUAAUUUAUUAUUUUAUUUAUUUAUUUAAAAUGUGAUAUCGGCUUUUCGGUUUUAUGGACUAUAGUAGGCUUCAAUUUAAUUGGCAAAUGAUUUAAAUUGAUCCAAUCCAUUUUUUAAAAAUUUUUUUAUAUCAACAAAUGUCCCCUCAAGAUUUAUUUAUUUAUUAUGAAAUAAAUAAAUAAAUCAUAAUAAAUAAAUAAAUCUUGAUUUUCGAUUUUUUUUUCGCCUAUUUAUUUGAGUGAAUUAUGAGAUUUGAAAACAGGUUUGUUAAAUCUAGCAAACAGAGGUAAAUAAAUGUUUUUCCUUCCCCUCCCCCCUCCCUCUUGUUUGUAUUUUUUUUAUCCUUCUCUUGGUUUCAUCGUUGACCCUUUAUUAUUUUUUUAAUAUUUCUCGAUUUCUGCAGCCAGCGGAAAAAAAAUGGCGGCGGAAACCAUUGAUUUGGAAUUGGUUUAGGAAUUGGAAUUAUUAUCUCCUUUGUAUAUUUUUAUUUUUAAAUUUUUUUUAAUUAUUAAUUAGCUUUCUUGGUUUCUGUAAAACCAAACAAUUGUGGGCAGAAACCAAAAAACCAUGGUUUCUACCAAAUUUUUUUUCUUCUUUUUCCCCUUUAUUUAUUUUUUCAAUUUCUUUCUUUUUAUUUCUUUUUAGUUCUUUUCUUCUUCAUUUUUUUUUAUAGAAUGUCUUUUUAUUUUGGGUUGAAUUUUGAUUUUUGUUUUAUUUUUUCUUAGUGUGGGUAUUUUAUUGAAGUCGAAACUAACAUUCUUCAUUUUUUUUUUCAAGAACUCAACUUUUGAAGUAAGCCGAGAAUUUUGAGGUUUGAGGGUUUUGUGUGUGUGUGUGGAAAUUAAAUUUUUGUGCUGCAACUACUUUAGAAGUUGGAAAAUAUAUGCUUAUGAACAAACUUAAAAUUACAAACCUUUUCAUAUGAAUUGAGGACCAAGGACUCUCACUUUUCACCAUCUAAUGCACUUUUUGUUUAGGACUAAGAAUCUGUUCCUUCGACUGUCCAAGACAUUUUGUGUUGAGGAACAAAGACUUGUUCGUUCGAUCAUCCAAUGCGCUUUAUGUUGAGGAUCAAGGAUUGGCUCCUUCGAUUGUCCAUGGCGUUGAGGACCAAGAACCAGCUUCUUCGACCAUUCAAGACAUUUUGUGUUGAGUACUAAGGACUUGCUUCUUCAACCGUCCGAGGGACUUUGUGUUGAGGACCGUCCAAGGCACUUUGUAUUUAGGACCAAGGGCUGGCUCCUUCGACUGUCCAAGGCACUUUGUGUUUGGGACAUUUACAUAUUUGGAAGGCUCGUAAUUUUAGAUGAUAAUGAAUUUAAGAGAUUUACUACCCCUUUUUAUUUGCUUUCUUUUUUCUUUUGCAUGAUAGGAAUAAGUUCCAAUGAUAAAGUAUACUCUAACAUACACGAAAUUAUUGAGCUUAAAAAUUAAGGCAAAAGUUAUUUGCGUUUCAAAGAUACCAAUUUGAAGUACCAUGCCUAGACUUGCCAACGAAUGAUCCUUCUCCUGACCUCCUGAGCCAUUGUUGGAGUUGUAUAUGCCUACCAUUAGUGAAUGUCACGAAAGUUUGGAUAUUGGCAAGUGCAACCACUUCCGCAGAGCAUGGAGUGCAUCCCAAAGGCUGAANUUGGUUGUACCCUCAUUUCAUUCGUCUUUUCCCCAAUAGGCCAAGCAAAUUAUACUUUGUGUAAUAAUUAGACUUCAAAAAAUAUUAUCCUGCCUCAUUAGAUGUACAAUGGUAUGUUGCCAAUCCCAAGAGAAUGCUAACUGCUGAAGUCCACAAAAUUAAAUUUCAUUUUUCUUACUUUCCUUCCUUCAAUACAUAUCUUUUUUCAAUUGUUUUAAGCUCAUUUUACUUUUCAGUUUUUGAUACAUUGUGCUGAUUACAUCUGCUGGCAUCAUUGACCAUGAAGAGGCUAGGAGAAAGAAUGUUGGGGGAAAAAAAGUGCGCAAUCCCUGCGCACAUUAGUUUAUGAUGUAAUGUAAGUGAUCCUUACUUGAAUCAACAUAGAACUUAGAAUUGAGGAAGGGUGUUCCAUGCACUGGUUGCUUGGAGCUAAAUCUUGAUUCUUUAAAUACUAACUCUUCGUUUCUUGUCUAAGCAUUUUAUCAAAGAGCUUGUGCAGGAUAAAGAAAUUAAUUUGACAAAGUCACUUUGGCGAUUGCUUUUAUUACCUUGAUGAUUUUUGUUAUCCAAGAUUACAACUUCUGUUGCAAGUCUUCAAGGUUAUUAGGUUCAAUUUGCCAUGUAAUAAAAAUUAGGUCGUUUCGAAAUUAUUUCCUACUUUCAUAUGUUUGAUAAAAAGGUUGAGUAUCGAAUAAUUCUUUAACUUUGCGUAAGCGAGUACAUAAAAAAUGUUAUAUUAUGCACCAAAGAUUUAAGAAGUCACCAAAAAAAAAAAAAAGUGGAAAAAAUUUUAUAUAUUCUAGGAACACUAACAUUACCUUCGAAAUAACAAAGCGCGUGCAUGGCAUGGGCAAUAGAUUAGUAGUACAAUAAAG